rnacentral:rRNA from 1 species
GACGAACGCUGGCGGCGUGCUUAACACAUGCAAGUCGAGCGGUAAGGCCCUUUCGGGGGUACGACGAGCGGCGAACGGGUGAGUAACACGUGGGUGACCUGCCCUCAGCUCUGGGAUGAGCCUGGGAAACCGGGUCUAAUACCGGAUAUGACUCCAUGACGCAUGUUGUGGGGUGGAAAGCCUUGUGCGGCUGAGGAUGGGCCCGCGGCCUAUCAGCUUGUUGGUGGGGUGANGGCCUACCAAGGCGACGACGGGUAGCCGGCCUGAGAGGGCGACCGGCCACACUGGGACUGAGACACGGCCCAGACUCCUACGGGAGGCAGCAGUGGGGAAUCUUGCGCAAUGGGCGAAAGCCUGACGCAGCGACGCCGCGUGAGGGAUGACGGCCU